UACGUAGGGUGCAAGCGUUGUCCGGAAUUAUUGGGCGUAAAGAGCUCGUAGGCGGUUUGUCGCGUCGGCUGUGAAAACCUGGGGCUCAACUCCGGGCCUGCAGCCGAUACGGGCAAACUAGAAUUCGGUAGGGGAGACUGGAAUUCCUGGUGUAGCGGUGAAAUGCGCAGAUAUCAGGAGGAACACCGGUGGCGAAGGCGGGUCUCUGGGCCGAUAUUGACGCUGAGGAGCGAAAGCGUGGGGAGCGAACAGG
rnacentral:rRNA from 1 species